CGCAAAGAAGCCAUCAAACUUCCCGGGCGGCUGCGGGGCUAGUGCAGGACGGCGCUGGCGGGGGGCCGCAGGAGCUGAAAGGUGCCUAAUACAUGAAAUGGUGAACACCCAUCCAGCAUCAAGGCUGAGAGAAAUUGGAGGACUGUAAAAGGAAACAGGAAAUAGAACGAUGGUACAACAAGAUGGCAUGAUAGCUGGAUAUGGAUUCAGGGAACUUUUUCCUGAAGCAAGACAUCAUAGUGUGACUAUUUUUUGUACCAAAACAUGUCUGGAGUAGAUGUUUAUUUCUGUAGAGCUACUACAGACUCACUUUGGUACAAAUGACAGAAUUUCCACUGCACAAGGCAGUUGCUGGAAUAAUGCUCUGCUGUAUGUGGGUCAACGCAUGCAAUUAGUAUACCUGAACUGAAGCAUAAGUGACAGCUGAAGGAUGGCAAAUGUUUUCACAAGGAACUCUGUAACUGCAACUUGCAUCCUUAUUUUGGGGGCUUUCUUUAAAAUAACCAAGGACACGUGCACGUGAUGAGAAGUUAAACCCAAAACCCAGUCAAAAAAUAGGUUACACUGAUAAAGAAAUUAUGCCUUUAGCAAUCCUUCACUCAGCAGUGCAUAAGCAAUAUAUAGCUGACUCACUCUAAUGUUGCUGUCACCGACAUUAUAAAUAUUUCAAAACAGAAGGCAUUUGAGGGAAGGAGGAAACUAGCUCUGAGAAAUUUUAGUUUGACCCACAGAUGUCUAGAAAAUAAAUAUGAAAAAGAUCAGAGGCCUGGAAAACUGAGCAGCUUUUAAUAGCAAUUUCACCAACUGUGUUGCCAUCACUGGGAAAUAUUAGUGUGAUAUGAUACCUCAUAUACCAAGAUCUUUUUUGGAACAGAGUGCUGGCAUUGUUGUUUCAGCAUUCAUUUUUUUUGAACUUAUCACAGAUGGUUAACAUGGGCCAUAUAUUUUCUCCUUUUAGUGGUCAGUGAACCUCUGCAAAGGCAGAGAGUGACCCUUUAACAUCUCCCCGGCCUUUUCUAUCUCCAGUUCACUGGGUUUACACUAAACCCUCUUCUGCACCAUCUGCACAUAACCAUAGAGAAAGGCCUCCACAUAUGGAAGCACAGACAGUUAGAGAAUUAGAUACACAUGACAUAUUUAAAAAUGGGCACCGACCUGAACAUAUACAUACGCAUGGUUCUUUCUAAUUUCUGGACAAACUGCGGGAAGUGGAUCUGAAACUGUGCAUUUGCAAUUUGCAAAAGAAAAAUUUGUGUGGGUAGAUUUCUUUCUGCCUGGACAAAUUUAGAUAAAGGAAAGAACUAAGUAAUUUUGGAAAUUGUGUGUAUUUGCAUAAAUUAAAACAUAAAAGUCUA